AUUGAACGCUGGCGGUAUGCCUUACACAUGCAAGUCGAACGGCAGCACGGUUACUUCUUCCUGUUGCGGAUUGGCGAACGCGUGCGUAUGACAUCUGAACAUGUCCCUUCUUUGUGGAGAGCGCUACGAAAGCCGGACUAACACUGCUAACGCAUUACGCCUGAAAGUGGGGGCCCUGCGUCUUCCGCCCUUUCGGGUUGGCCUGAGGCGAUGUCGGAUUAGCUAGUUGGCGGGGUAAAGGCCCACCAAGGCGACGAUCCGCAGCUGGUCUGAGAGGAUGACCAGCCACACUGGAACUGAGACACGGCCCAGACUCCUACGGGAGGCAGCAGUGGGGAAUUUUGGACAAUGGGCGAAAGCCUGAUCCAGCAAUGCCGCGUGUGUGAAGAAGGCCUUCGGGUUGUAAAGCACUUUUGUCCGGAAAGAAAAGCUUGGCCCUAAUACGGUCGGGGGAUGACGGUACCGGAAGAAUAAGCACCGGCUAACUACGUG
rnacentral:rRNA from 1 species